GUACCUGUAGCUCAGCUGGAUAGAGCAAUGGCCUUCUAAGCCAUGUGUCCGGGGUUCGAAUCCCUGCAGGUACGCCA
rnacentral:tRNA from 1 species